UACAGGGGGUGCAAACGUUGCUCGGAAUUACUGGGCGUAAAGCGCACGUAGUCGGCUUUGCAAGUCGGGUGUGAAAUCCCCGGGCUCAACCUGGGAACUGCAUCCGAGACUGCAUUGCUAGAGUAUGGGAGAGGGAAGCGGAAUUUCUGGUGUAGCAGUGAAAUGCGUAGAUAUCAGAAGGAACAUCAGUGGCGAAGGCGGCUUCCUGGACCAAUACUGACGAUCAGGUGCGAAAGCGUGGGGAGCAAACAGG
rnacentral:rRNA from 1 species